GUCCACGCCCUAAACGAUGGAUACUAAUCAGGAGGCCCUGCAAGGGGUUUCUUGACGGAGCGAAAGCGUUAAGUAUCCCGCCUGGGGAGUAUGGUCGCAAGGCUGAAACUCAAAGGAAUUGACGGGGGCUCACACAAGCGGUGGAGCAUGUUGCUUAAUUCGAUGCAACGCGAAGAACCUUACCCGGGCUCGAAAUGUACGGAUUAGCUCUAUGAAAGUAGGGUGACACCUUAACCGGUGGAACGUAUAUAGGUGUUGCAUGGCUGUCGU
rnacentral:rRNA from 1 species